GCUCCGAUAGUAUAACGGUUAGUAUUGGGGAUUGUGGUUCCCUAGGUGACGGUUCGAUUCCGUCUCGGGGCACCA
rnacentral:tRNA from 1 species